AAUAUCAGUGCUAAGUUAUAAAUUAGUUUUUGGCAAUUAUUAAAGUAAACUAAUAAAUAUUUAUAAAGUUAAAAUUUAAAUAUGAAUUUUAGAACAGUAAGAGUCAGUUUUAAUUUGCAAAAUAUAUUAAGCAUACUGUCACACUAUUACAAUGUUUUACCUCAUAUUUAGGACUUGUGAAAAUAUUUUUAUAAAAAGAAAUGUUGGAACUGCUUGUUAAUUGUUAGGAAGUGUUAAAUAAUGUAGAUGACAUCAUUAUUCAAAAUCAGCGAAGAGCCGUUUAUUCGCACCAAGCCCUAGAUAUGUCUAUAAUUCCACAUAAUAUUGCAUAGCUUUGAAUAAAAAAUAACAUUGUAAAAAAGUACUAAAAGAUACGUUGGUGUUAUGUAGGUUAGAUCCAAAUCAGGCAGAGUCACGAAGAUGACACCCACGUAUAUUUGCGUCCGGUCGUCGUCGGAUGUGCGGAACUUGCUGCACUUGGUACCGUUGCAUAUGACACGCGGAACAGUCAGUCAGUCAAACUACCACAUACACGUAGUAUGGCGACGGCAUAUAAAGGUGGCAAGUGUCAAGAAGCUUCGUGCAACGCGAUGCAACGCAGGACUGUAUCGGUAUUUAUUUGAUCAUUUUCAAAUAAAUAAUUUACCGAAUAACUUGUAAGUAGAUGUGUGGAUUAACGAAUGAGAAUGAUUAAUUGAAUAAGAGAGGCAAUAAGUAAUAAUAAUAAUCUUUGUUUCACUGAAGAAUUUGGCGUCAAAGAUCGAGGAGUGGCUUCAGCGACAAAGCAUUGCCUUUAAUAAAUGAUGAUGAUAAUAAAAUUUAAAAUAAUAUAUACGUAUACGUGUAUAUAAGCAUAAACAAGCCGAAGACUGAAAAUGUGACCAAAUUUCCUGGAACGACAAUGGCCACAGGAAGUUUCCAUCAAAUGCUCCUGUAAUGUAUAAAAUCAGCUACACGUGCAGAGAUAGAGAAGAUUUUACACGUAAUGUAAACUACAUUUACGAAAGCCAGAAAAGCCAGACAGUCAACGGAACAGUAAUCGUUCAUUACAAAACGUUGUACCUUUUACGCACAGAAACAAACGAGCGCAUGCGCACAUCAAGCACAUUUGUACAGCUCCCUCGCAGUUAUAGGGCCAACGUGAACUAUCUGUGGUGAUAUACUCGACACUACCAUAAUGUGGCUGAUUUAUACAUUAAAUUAUUAGAAGGACAUAAUCAUUUUCAAACAAAAAUAAUUUUAAUAAAUAUUUAACAAACACACACUGUUUAGUUGUAUUGUAAUACACACAAUUCUAUCAUAAAUUGAUUAAUAGUAAUUUUUAAAAAUCGUUCCUUCCGAAAAGAAAUCUAUAAAUUAUUUUUUGUCAUAUUUUUUUAUUCUAAUUUUAAUA